AUUUGGAAACAAGUGCUAAUACCGCAUAAUUAGUUGGAACCGCAUGGUUCCAACUUGAAAGAUGGCUCUGCUAUCACUUUGGGAUGGACCCGCGCCGUAUUAGUUAGUUGGUGAGAUAAAAGCCCACCAAGACGAUGAUACGUAGCCGACCUGAGAGGGUAAUCGGCCACAUUGGGACUGAGACACGGCCCAGACUCCUACGGGAGGCAGCAGUAGGGAAUCUUCCACAAUGGACGAAAGUCUGAUGGAGCAACGCCGCGUGAGUGAUGAAGGUUUUCGGAUCGUAAAACUCUGUUGUUAAAGAAGAACAAGUGUUAGAGUAACUGUUAACACUUUGACGGUAUUUAACCAGAAAGCCACGGCUAACUACGUGCCAGCAGCCGCGGUAAUACGUAGGUGGCAAGCGUUGUCCGGAUUUAUUGGGCGUAAAGCGAGCGCAGGCGGUUUUGUAAGUCUGCUGUGAAAGCCCUCAGCUCAACUGAGGAAGUGCAGUGGAAACUACAAAACUUGAGUACAGAAGAGGAAAGUGGAACUCCAUGUGUAGCGGUGAAAUGCGUAGAUAUAUGGAAGAACACCAGUGGCGAAGGCGGCUUUCUGGUCUGUUACUGACGCUGAGGCUCGAAAGCAUGGGUAGCGAACAGGAUUAGAUACCCUGGUAGUCCAUGCCGUAAACGAUGAAUACUAGGUGUUGGAGGGUUUCCGCCCUUCAGUGCCGCAGCUAACGCAUUAAGUAUUCCGCCUGGGGAGUACGACCGCAAGGUUGAAACUCAAAGGAAUUGACGGGGGCCCGCACAAGUGGUGGAGCAUGUGGUUUAAUUCGAUGCUACGCGAAGAACCUUACCAGCUCUUGACAUCUUCUGCCAACCCAAGAGAUUGGGCGUUCCCUUCGGGGACAGAAUGACAGGUGGUGCAUGGUUGUCGUCAGCUCGUGUCGUGAGAUGUUGGGUUAAGUCCCGCAACGAGCGCAACCCUUAUUAUUAGUUGCCAGCAUUUAGUUGGGCACUCUAGUGAGACUGCCGGUGAUAAACCGGAGGAAGGUGGGGACGACGUCAAAUCAUCAUGCCCCUUAUGAGCUGGGCUACACACGUGCUACAAUGGAUGGUACAACGAGUCGCGAAACCGCGAGGUCAAGCUAAUCUCUUAAAGCCAUUCUCAGUUCGGAUUGCAGGCUGCAACUCGCCUGCAUGAAGUUGGAAUCACUAGUAAUC
rnacentral:rRNA from 1 species